ACCCCAGACUCCUACGGGAGGCAGCAGUGGGGGAUAUUGCACAAUGGGGGAACCCUGAUGCAGCGACGCCGCGUGGGUGAAGGAGCGUUUCGGCGCGUAAGGCCCUAUCGGCAGGGAAGAAGGAGGACGGUACCUGACUAAGAAGCCCCGGCUAACUACGUGCCAGCAGCCGCGGGAAUACGUAGGGGGCAAGCGUUAUCCGGAUUUACUGGGUGUAAAGGGGGCGCAGACGGCAGCGCAAGCCAGGAGUGAAAGCCCGGGGCCCAACCCCGGGACUGCUCUUGGAACUGCGCGGCUGGAGUGCAGGAGGGGCAGGCGGAAUUCCUGGUGUAGCGGUGAAAUGCGUAGAUAUCAGGAGGAACACCGGUGGCGAAGGCGGCCUGCUGGACUGCGACUGACGUUGAGGCCCGAAAGCGUGGGGAGCAAACAGGAUUAGAUACCCGUGUA
rnacentral:rRNA from 1 species